CGGCCGCGCCCGUCUUCCCGGUCCGCCCCGAGCCGGGGGAGGCCGGGCGCCGGUCGUUCAGGCACCGUAACUGAAGGCAGACCCUGUUCUAAAGGAGCACAGUUUUGGAAGAAGAGGAAGUGUCAGGCUGGGGGAGCUUUGAGAGGUGAACUUCCAGAAGGGAAUGGAUUUUUGUGAGGCCCCAGUGUUGUUCAUGGGCAUCAGAUCCUGCAAGAAACCUUCAGGAACCUCUUGCCGGGCACUCACUCUGAAUGGAGGAAUCUCUACGUGUCCGGAGCAGACACCCAAUGGUGUCUUCUGUGAAACAACAUGAGCUCUAUUUACUGAGUUCCAUCCAUGUACCACAGACAUCACAUAUAUUAUUUCUAAUUCCUAUGACAACCCUGCAAGGUGGGUAGGUUUCAUUCACCUUUCACAGAUGAGAA
rnacentral:lncRNA from 1 species